rnacentral:rRNA from 1 species
AUUGAACGCUGGCGGAAUGCUUUACACAUGCAAGUCGAACGGCAGCACGGACUUCGGUCUGGUGGCGAGUGGCGAACGGGUGAGUAAUGUAUCGGAACGUGCCCAGUCGUGGGGGAUAACGUAGUGAAAAUUACGCUAAUACCGCAUACGAUCUAUGGAUGAAAGCGGGGGAUCGCAAGACCUCGCGCGAUUGGAGCGGCCGAUAUCAGAUUAGGUAGUUGCUGGGGUAAAGGCCCACCAAGCCAACGAUCUGUAGCUGGUCUGAGAGGACGACCAGCCACAAUGGAACUGAGACACGGUCCAGAAUCCUACGGGAGGAAGCAGUGGGGAAUUUUGGACAAUGGGCGAAAGCCUGAUCCAGCCAUUCCGCGUGCAGGAUGAAGGCCCUCGGGUUGUAAACUGCUUUUGUACAGAACGAAAAGGUUUCUACUAAUACUAGGAGCUCAUGACGGUACUGUAAGAAUAAGCACCGGCUAACUACGUGCCAGCCGCCGCCGUAA